rnacentral:rRNA from 1 species
AUUGAACGCUGGCGGCAGGCCUAACACAUGCAAGUCGAACGAGUGGCGGACGGGUGAGUAAUGUCUGGGCAACUGCCUGAUGGAGGGGGCUAACUACUGGAAACGGUAGCUAAUACCGCAUACCAUCGGAUGUGCCCAGAUGGGAUGAUCUAGUAGGUGGGGUAAAGGCUCACAUAGGCGACGAUCCCUAGCUGGUCUGAGAGGGUGACCAGCCACACGGGGACUGAGACACGGUCCAGACUCCUACGGGAGGCAGCAGUGGGGAAUAUUGGGCAAUGGACGCAAGCCUGAUGCAGCCAGGCCGCGUGUAUGAAGAAGGUCUUCGGGUGGUAAAAUACUGUCAGCGGGGAGGCGUUACCCGCAGAGGAAGCAACGGCUAACUCCGUGCCAGCAGCCGCGGUAAUUC